rnacentral:rRNA from 1 species
UACGUAGGGUGCAAGCGUUGUCCGGAAUUAUUGGGCGUAAAGGGCUCGUAGGCGGUCCAUCGCGUCGGGAGUGAAAAGCUGGGGCUUAACCCCAGUCCUGCUUCCGAUACGGGUGGACUAGAGGUAGGUAGGGGAGAUCGGAAUUCCUGGUGUAGCGGUGAAAUGCGCAGAUAUCAGGAGGAACACCGGUGGCGAAGGCGGCAUCCUGGACCGGCAUUGACGCUGAGGCGCGAAAGCUAGGGGAGCAAACGGG